UACAGAGGGUGCGAGCGUUAAUCGGAAUUACUGGGCGUAAAGCGUGCGUAGACGGUUAUUUAAGUCGGGUGUGAAAUCCCCGGGCUCAACCUGGGAACUGCAUCCGAAACUGCCUUGCUCGAGUAUGGGAGAGGGAAGUGGAAUUUCCGGUGUAGCGGUGAAAUGCGUAGAUAUCGAGAGGAACACCUGCGGCGAAGGCGGGUUGCUGGGCCGACACUGACGCUGAUGCGCGAAAGCCAGGGGAGCGAACGGG
rnacentral:rRNA from 1 species